AUUGAACGCUGGCGGCAUGCCUUACACAUGCAAGUCGAGCGGCAGCGCGGGGGCAACCCUGGCGGCGAGCGGCGCACGGGUGAGUAAUGCAUCGGAACGUGUCCUCUUGUGGGGGAUAACCAGUCGAAAGACUGGCUAAUACCGCAUGAGAUCGAGAGAUGAAAGCAGGGGACCCGCAAGGGCCUUGCGCGAGAGGAGCGGCCGAUGCCCGAUUAGCUAGUUGGUGGGGUAAUGGCCCACCAAGGCGACGAUCGGUAGCUGGUUUGAGAGAAUGACCAGCCACACUGGGACUGAGACACGGCCCAGACUCCUACGGGAGGCAGCAGUGGGGAAUUUUGGACAAUGGGGGCAACCCUGAUCCAGCCAUGCCGCGUGUGUGAAGAAGGCCUUCGGGUUGUAAAGCACUUUCGGCCGGAACGAAAUCGCACGGGUGAAUAUCCCGUGUGGAUGACGGUACCGGAAGAAGAAGCACCGGCUAACUACGUGC
rnacentral:rRNA from 1 species